AGGAUGAUAUACCUAGUAAGCAUUCACCCGUUAGAAAGGGGUAAAGUGGAAGGGUGUUCAUUGAAUUGAUAUUGUUGACUAGAGUGAUUGUAACUUAUUUAGCCUCUUAAUUGCUAGACUUUGAGCGUUCCGAGGCAUUACGGAAGGCAAACGCUAUGGUGAAGUAAUUUGUAUUGUUCCAGCUCUGCAGUUGAGAUUGUGAUCUAGAGACUGCUACCCGACCUCACAUUUAGCGUUGAGUCCAUUUGCUGACAGAUUGAGGCUGAGCUUCUAACCAUGCCAGGCUGCCUGAAUAUCUUCCUUAUCUAAUUUUUAUUUCCAUUCCAGACAUUGAUGUUUAUUUAUUUCAGACAGUAGACGUUCCUUAGACAUGUUUUUGGAUUAGAGUCCUUGUACAUUGACUUACGAAUUUUGGGAUUGUAAUAGUUAGGACUUCCGCAUUUACGAUUAUUGUUUAUGGCAUGACUACUUUUGAUUAA